UAGUUUGGAGGAAUUAAUGGAAUAAGCUUCUAUGCAAGUGAAACCUUUGCAUUAGCCGGGCUUUCUUCAGGAAAAACCGGAACCAUAGCUUAUGCUUGUGUUCUUCAUGUCUGACAUUCUGA